CGGGACACGUGGUAUCCUGUCUGAAUAUGGGGGGACCAUCCUCCAAGGCUAAAUACUCCUGACUGACCGAUAGUGAACCAGUACCGUGAGGGAAAGGCGAAAAGAACCCCGGCGAGGGGAGUGAAAAAGAACCUGAAACCGUGUACGUACAAGCAGUGGGAGCACGCUUAGGCGUGUGACUGCGUACCUUUUGUAUAAUGGGUCAGCGACUUAUAUUCUGUAGCAAGGUUAACCGAAUAGGGGAGCCGAAGGGAAACCGAGUCUUAACUGGGCGUUAAGUUGCAGGGUAUAGACCCGAAACCCGGUGAUCUAGCCAUGGGCAGGUUGAAGGUUGGGUAACACUAACUGGAGGACCGAACCGACUAAUGUUGAAAAAUUAGCGGAUGACUUGUGGCUGGGGGUGAAAGGCCAAUCAAACCGGGAGAUAGCUGGUUCUCCCCGAAAGCUAUUUAGGUAGCGCCUCGUGAAUUCAUCUCCGGGGGUAGAGCACUGUUUCGGCAAGGGGGUCAUCCCGACUUACCAACCCGAUGCAAACUGCGAAUACCGGAGAAUGUUAUCACGGGAGACACACGGCGGGUGCUAACGUCCGUCGUGAAGAGGGAAACAACCCAGACCGCCAGCUAAGGUCCCAAAGUCAUGGUUAAGUGGGAAACGAUGUGGGAAGGCCCAGACAGCCAGGAUGUUGGCUUAGAAGCAGCCAUCAUUUAAAGAAAGCGUAAUAGCUCACUGGUCGAGUCGGCCUGCGCGGAAGAUGUAACGGGGCUAAACCAUGCACCGAAGCUGCGGCAGCGACGCUUAUGCGUUGUUGGGUAGGGGAGCGUUCUGUAAGCCUGCGAAGGUGUGCUGUGAGGCAUGCUGGAGGUAUCAGAAGUGCGAAUGCUGACAUAAGUAACGAUAAAGCGGGUGAAAAGCCCGCUCGCCGGAAGACCAAGGGUUCCUGUCCAACGUUAAUCGGGGCAGGGUGAGUCGACCCCUA
rnacentral:rRNA from 1 species